CAAUAGCGUAUACUAAAGUUGUUGCAGUUAAAAAGCUCGUAGUUGAAUUUCUGGUCUUGGACGGCGGUCUACCACAAUUGUGGUACGUACCAACUGUCCGAGUCCAUCCUCGGGGAAAACAUGCCUGUGAUUCAGUUCAUGGGUAUGGGAUCCUCGUCAUUUACUGUGAGCAAAAAUAGAGUGUUCAAAGCAGGCUUAUGCCGUUGAAUACAUUAGCAUGGAAUAAUAAGAUAGGACCUUGGUCUAUUUUGUUGGUUUGUACUCCAAGGUAAUGAUUAAUAGGGGAUAGUUGGGGGUAUUCGUAUUCAAUUGUCAGAGGUGGAAAUUACUUGGUAUUGCCGUACGACGAACUACUGCGAAAGACAUUUGUCCAAGGUAUGUUUUCUAUUGAUCAAGAACGAAAGUAAAGGGGAGUCGAAGACGAUCAGAUACCGU
rnacentral:rRNA from 1 species